GUGCUCGCUUUGGCAGUACAUAUACUAAAAUUGGAACAAUACAGAGAAAAUUAGCAUGGCCCCUGUGCACCAAUAUCCAUUAUAUUAUUAAAAAUAAUUAU
ensembl:snRNA U6 U6 spliceosomal RNA